rnacentral:rRNA from 1 species
ACAGCAGUAGCCACGGGAAAACGUAGGGUGCGAGCGUUAAUCGGAAUUACUGGGCGUAAAGCGGGCGCAGACGGUUACUUAAGCAGGAUGUGAAAUCCCCGGGCUCAACCUGGGAACUGCGUUCCGAACUGGGUGACUAGAGUGUGUCAGAGGGAGGUAGAAUUCCACGUGUAGCAGUGAAAUGCGUAGAGAUGUGGAGGAAUACCGAUGGCGAAGGCAGCCUCCUGGGAUAACACUGACGUUCAUGCCCGAAAGCGUGGGUAGCAAACAGGAUUAGAUACCCGGGUAGUCCCUGUCUCUUAUAC